CAAUAGAUUUUGCAAUUUUGACUAUCAUUGUUGUUUAAUUUAUUUAUUUUCAGGUACCCCUGCCAGAAGGACAGGAGCGCCGAGUCGUUGGAAUCGUCAGGAGUCAUCACGGGCAGGCGCCUGUAGUGUGUUGGCUGUGAUUUGUUGUGGCCGCUGGAGGAGCGCCGCUUGCAACGAGCUCGUCCCGGUCGGUGUUGCAAGCAGUUGCAUAAGUUUUGAAGAAGCUAGAAUCCCGCGCAGCCGUCAUUGGGAUGUAAUGGAGCUGCUGUCAACAUGGUGGUGGAAACGAAGGUUGCACGGUGCGCCGCGUCCUGUGGCCAUUGCGUCGGGACUGGCAGCUAGGAGCUUCCAGAUCAGGAAAAGUUGCCGAGGACCGCCGCAUCGGAAGAGGUCAUGGUGUUUCAGGAUGUUCCGGGUCAAGGAUUGUUGUCGGGGACCGUAGCAGCGAUUUGGGCCAUGGAAUUGAAUGUAAAGAUAAAUUUUAGGGGCCCAGGCUGAACGAUAUUUGGAGGUGUGUUUUUUUUUUAAAGGCUGUUCUGAAGGUGCGUUUGUAGCAGCUAAUUUAGAGGCCGUCGUAGCUGUGAUGCCGUGGUUUUUGGGUUCUUCAAGCUUGCGAUUAAUAUGGAGGUACAUUUGUUGCAGCUUUUAUUGAGGCCGUCGCAGCUGAGAUCCCGUGGUUUUUGAGUUCUUCACGUUUGAGAUUAAUCUGGAGGUACGUUUGUAGCAGCUGAUAUUAAAGCCGUCGCAGCUGGUAUGCCAAGGUUUGCGAUUAAUCUAGAGGUACCAGUUUGCGAUUAGUCUGGAGUUUUCAGGUACGUUUGUA